AGCCGCGGUAAUUCCAGCUCCAAUAGCGUAUAUUAAAGUUGUUGCAGUUAAAAAGCUCGUAGUUGAAUUUCGGGGUCAGUAGGUUGGUCAUGCCACUGGUAUGUACUGGUCUCACUGAUUCCUCCUUCCUGAUGAGCCGUAAUGCCAUUAAUUUGGUGUUGCGAGGAAUCUGGACUGUUACUUUGAAAAAAUUAGAGUGUUUAAAGCAGGCUAACGCUUGAAUACAUUAGCAUGGAAUAAUGAAAUAGGACGUUCGAUCUUAUUUUGUUGGUUUCUAAGAUUGACGUAAUGAUUAAUAGGGAUAGUUGGGGGCAUUAGUAUUCAAUUGUCAGAGGUGAAAUUCUUGGAUUUAUUGAAGACUAACUACUGCGAAAGCAUUUGCCAAGGAUGUUUUCAUUAAUCAAGAACGAAAGUUAGGGGAUCGAAGACGAUCAGAUACCGUCGUAGUCUUAACCAUAAACUAUGCCGACUAGGGAUCGGAUGAUGUUAAUUUUUUAAUGACUCAUUCGGCGCCUUACG
rnacentral:rRNA from 1 species